rnacentral:rRNA from 1 species
UGGGGAAUUUUGGACAAUGGGCGGAAGCCUGAUUCAGCAAUGCCGCGUGUGUGAAGAAGGCCUUCGGGUUGUAAAGCACUUUUGUCCGGAAAGAAAUCCUUGGCUCUAAUACAGUCGGGGGAUGACGGUACCGGAAGAAUAAGCACCGGCUAACUACGUGCCAGCAGCCGCAGUAAUACGUAGGGUGCAAGCGUUAAUCGGAAUUACUGGGCGUAAAGCGUGCGCAGGCGGUUUGCUAAGACCGAUGUGAAAUCCCCGGGCUCAACCUGGGAACUGCAUUGGUGACUGGCAGGCUAGAGUAUGGCAGAGGGGGGUAGAAUUCCACGUGUAGCAGUGAAAUGCGUAGAGAUGUGGAGGAAUACCGAUGGCGAAGGCAGCCCCCUGGGCCAAUACUGACGCUCAUGCACGAAAGCGUGGGGAGCAAACAGGAUUAGAUACCCUGGUAGUCCACGCCCUAAAACGAUGUCAACUAGUUGUUGGGGAUUCAUUUCCUUAGUAACGUAGCUAACGCGUGAAGUUGACCGCCUGGGGAGUACGGUCGCAAGAUUAAAACUCAAAUGAAUUGACGGGGUCAUAGCUGUUUCCU